UUGAACGCUGGCGGCAUGCCUUACACAUGCAAGUUCGAACGGCAGCACGGGAGCAAUCCUGGUGGCGAGUGGCGAACGGGUGAGUAAUAUAUCGGAACGUGCCCAGUCGUGGGGGAUAACGUAGCGAAAGCUACGCUAAUACCGCAUACGAUCUACGGAUGAAAGCGGGGGAUCGCAAGACCUCGCGCGAUUGGAGCGGCCGAUAUCAGAUUAGGUAGUUGGUGAGGUAAAGGCUCACCAAGCCGACGAUCUGUAGCUGGUCUGAGAGGACGACCAGCCACACUGGGACUGAGACACGGCCCAGACUCCUACGGGAGGCAGCAGUGGGGAAUUUUGGACAAUGGGCGCAAGCCUGAUCCAGCAAUGCCGCGUGCAGGAUGAAGGCCUUCGGGUUGUAAACUGCUUUUGUACGGAACGAAACGGUGAGCUCUAAUACAGUUUGCUAAUGACGGUACCGUAAGAAUAAGCACCGGCUAACUACGUG
rnacentral:rRNA from 1 species